CCCUUAGAUGUCCUGGGCCGCACGCGCGCUACACUGAGUGUCUGAGAUACGAGUCUGCCUGGUCCGGCAAGGUCUAGGUAAUCGCUAAAAGACACAUCAUGCUUGGGAUAGAUUAUUGCAAAUAUUAAUCUUGAACGAGGAAUUCCUAGUAAGCGCAAGUCAACAGCUUGCGUUGAUUACGUCCCUGCCCUUUGUACACACCGCCCGUCGCUACUACUGAUUGGAUGUUUAAGCGAGGUUCUCGAACUGCUAGCGACUUAGCUUCGGUGAGGUCGCAGUGUGGGAAGUGAACCUAGCUUUGGUGUCUAGAGGAAGGAAAAGUCGUAACA
rnacentral:rRNA from 1 species